rnacentral:rRNA from 1 species
UGGGGAAUUUUGGACAAUGGGCGCAAGCCUGAUCCAGCCAUGCCGCGUGCGGGAAGAAGGCCUUCGGGUUGUAAACCGCUUUUGUCAGGGAAGAAAUCUUCUGAGUUAAUACCUCGGGAGGAUGACGGUACCUGAAGAAUAAGCACCGGCUAACUACGUGCCAGCAGCCGCGGUAAUACGUAGGGUGCAAGCGUUAAUCGGAAUUACUGGGCGUAAAGCGUGCGCAGGCGGUUUUGUAAGACAGAGGUGAAAUCCCCGGGCUCAACCUGGGAACUGCCUUUGUGACUGCAAGGCUUGAGUGCGGCAGAGGAGGAUGGAAAUUCCGCGUGUAGCAGUGAAAUGCGUAGAUAUGCGGAGGAACACCGAUGGCGAAGGCAAUCCCCUGGGCCUGCACUGACGCUCAUGCACGAAAGCGUGGGGAGCAAAACAGGAUUAGAUACCCUGGUAGUCCACGCCCUAAAACGAUGUCAACUGG